GGAGAAUGGGAGUAGAGACAUGUUACCUGGAGCAGCCUGUGCCAAGCCAUGUGGUCCUGUCACACACCAGGGAGUUUGCCUUGCUGUUAGUGCUGUGGGCAGGCUGUGUCCCAUCCUGCACUGGCUGCAGACAAGUGCUGCAGAGGCUGCCCUCACAUCUGCAGGGAAAUUUAAGAAGGAAAAGCAUUAAAUCAGAAAGGCUCUAUUAAACCAGACUGUUACCAGAUAUACAGAAGAACCCACUGGGAUUGGUCUUGUCCUUACUGCUGAAUGAUGCUGUGAACCAUGUGAUUCACUGUUUCCAAUGCUGCUGCUGGCAUUUGUGUCUUUUUCUGAAAGUACACUGUCU